GACGGAGGAUGCAAGCGUUAUCCGGAAUGAUUGGGCGUAAAGCGUCCGCAGGUGGCAGUUCAAGUCUGCUGUCAAAGACCGGGGCUUAACUUCGGAAAGGCAGUGGAAACUGAACAGCUAGAGUAUGGUAGGGGCAGAGGGAAUUCCUGGUGGAGCGGUGAAAUGCGUAGAGAUCGGAAAGAACACCAACGGCGAAAGCACUCUGCUGGGCCGACACUGACACUGAGAGACGAAAGCUAGGGGAGCGAAUGGG
rnacentral:rRNA from 1 species